UCCGAUGUUGUCUAGUGGUUAGGAUAUGCCGCUCUCAAAAAUGUGCAGUGCCGGCAAGGCCGGGGUUCAAUUCCCCGCAUCGGAA